rnacentral:rRNA from 1 species
UACGGAGGUUGCAAGCGUUGUUCGGAAUUACUGGGCGUAAAGGGAGCGCAGGCGGCUUGGCCAGUCUGAAGUGAAAGCCCGGGGCUCAACUCCGGAAGUGCUUUGGAUACUACCAAGCUUGAGUUCGUGAGAGGAGAGCGGAAUUCCAGGUGUAGCGGUGAAAUGCGUAGAUAUCUGGAGGAACACCGGUGGCGAAGGCGGCUCUCUGGCGCGAAACUGACGCUGAGGCUCGAAAGCGUGGGGAGCGAACGGG